AGCAUUAGCUCAGUUGCUAGAGCUUAGGACUUGUGAUCUCAUGGUCGCCGGUUCAAAUCUGUGU
rnacentral:tRNA from 1 species